CCUACGGGGUGCUGCAGUGAGGAAUAUUGGUCAAUGGGCGCGAGCCUGAACCAGCCAAGUCGCGUGAGGGAGGACGGCCCUACGGGUUGUAAACCUCUUUUGCCGGGGAGCAACGGGCGUCACGUGUGGCGCCACUGAGAGUACCCGGAGAAAAAGCAUCGGCUAACUCCGUGCCAGCAGCCGCGGUAAUACGGAGGAUGCGAGCGUUAUCCGGAUUUAUUGGGUUUAAAGGGUGCGUAGGCGGAUCGUUAAGUCAGUGGUCAAAUUGAGGGGCUCAACCCCUUCCCGCCAUUGAAACGGGCGUUCUUGAGUGGAAGAGAAGUAUGCGGAAUGCGUGGUGUAGCGGUGAAAUGCAUAGAUAUCACGCAGAACCCCGAUUGCGAAGGCAGCAUGCCGGCUUCCGACUGACGCUGAAGCACGAAAGCGUGGGGAUCGAACAGGAUUAGAUACCCUUGUAGUC
rnacentral:rRNA from 1 species